GGAACCGCCUCCAAGCUCCUAAUUUUUGCCUAAUGUUAAACCAUAUCCAAAGAUGAAUAUUUAAACAAUCAAUUCAGUGGCGGAGUAAAUUAAACGUUAUUCUCCGAUCAAACAGGAGCUUCGGGUCCACCUGUUUGGAAGCACCCAGGCAGCUUGGAGAGGUCCGGCCUUCGGGUGCGACCCGCAGGGGUUGCCCUGCCCGGUUCGCGGAACGGACGUUUACCUGUCGCAGCUACGAACCCACCAACGACACCAAGCACUUGCCGGGCAGACCAGGCGUCGUGGAGGCGCCCCAGCCCCCCCAACUCCCCCGCAACGACGCGUCCCAGGGGUGCUGUUGUAGGAGCAAGGGAUACAAUGAUGAUCAAGGCAGAUGCAGCCGUUACCUUCAGGUUGUGGAGUCCGGAUACAGACUGGAGGCAGGCAGCUGUAAGAUGUGUGAGAAAUGCUGCGCUGGAUCAGCCCAUGG
rnacentral:lncRNA from 10 species